AUUCAGUCCCUCAUAGCACACUCCUUUCACCAUGUCAGAUCAACACUUCCUUGUUCACACAGAAGCAGCUUGCAAGAGUCAUCAUCUGCUUUGCAUAUGCAGAUCCCAGAGUGUGCUGACUGUGCUGAAAAACAGUGGCCUCUAGUGCCCGGAAUGCCAAAUGACAGCUCCAAUACAAUUUAAACAUAAACAUUAUACAGGCAGAGCUUAUCCACAAUCUAACACCCUCACUCCUCUGGUAUCCUGAGCCGCAUUUAUACUUU